rnacentral:lncRNA from 1 species
GGGCACAGUCGGCCAUACGUAUCUGCGUCGAGCAAGAGAUCAAACGUGUCAAAGCCCUUGUUGACAAUGACCAUGCGGCCAUAGGCAGCGCACCCCACGUUUUUGCAGCGGCCUUCGAUGCACAGGCCGGGCUUGACAAUGCGCCAGUCGGGGGCCGACUUGCUCCACUGCCGGCACUGCAUGGCGCCCGUGUUUUCCAUGUCGACAAAUGUGGCGCUGGCGGGGGGUCCGCCCCCGCCGCCGCGUAGCCUGAGCACCAGAUGCAUUGACGCCUCGGCGCGGAUGGCAUAGUCGGCCAGCCGGCGACCGUCUUCCAUCUGCUGGCCCGCAUAAAGGAGACGCUGCUGGUCGGGCGGAAGCCCUGUGUGCACCCAAGGGGGGGGGGCAAAUAGAGGAAAAAAAACAAUGUCGGCCCUCAACCAUGUUGGGCAAAAAGGCACGACAGAGAGGCACACAUACCCUCCUUGUCGUGGAUUAUGCACUUGAUCUC